rnacentral:rRNA from 1 species
CCUACGGGGGGCAGCAGUCGGGAAUAUUGCGCAAUGGAGGAAACUCUGACGCAGUGACGCCGCGUGCAGGAAGAAGGUUUUCUGAUUGUAAACUGCUUUAGACAGGGAAGAAAAAAGACAGUACCUGUAGAAUAAGCACCGGCUAAAUACGUGCCAGCAGCCGCGGUAAUACGUAUGGUGCAAGCGUUAGCCGGAUUUACUGGGUGUAACGGGAGCGCAGGCGGGACGGCAAGCCUGAUGUGAAAGCCCGCGGCGCAACCGCGGGACUGCAGUGGGAACUUCCGGGCUGGAGUGCGGGAGAGGUAGGCGGAAUUCGUGGUGUAGCGGUGAAAUGCGUAGAUAGUAGGAGGAACACCCGUGGCGAAGGCGGCCUGCUGGACGGUGACUGACGCUGAGGCUCGAAAGCGUGGGGAGCGAACAGGAUUAGAUACCCCAGUAGUC